GUGGGGAAUAUUGGACAAUGGGCGCAAGCCUGAUCCAGCCAUGCCGCGUGGAGGAUAAGGUCUUCGGAUUGUAAACUCCUGUCAUGCGUGAACAAGGUUGCUUGGUUAAUACCUGGGCAAAUUGAUGGUAACGCAAGAGGAAGAGACGGCUAACUCUGUGCCAGCAGCCGCGGUAAUACAGAGGUCUCAAGCGUUGUUCGGAAUCACUGGGCGUAAAGGGUGCGUAGGUGGCGUGGUAAGUCAGAUGUGAAAGCCCGGGGCUCAACCUCGGAACUGCAUCCGAUACUGCCAUGCUAGAGUACUGGAGAGGUGACUAGAAUUCUCGGUGUAGCAGUGAAAUGCGUAGAUAUCGAGAGGAAUACCAAAGGCGUAGGCAGGUCACUGGACAGUUACUGACACUGAGGCACGAAGGCCAGGGGAGCGAACGGGAUUAGAAACCCUUGUAGUCC
rnacentral:rRNA from 1 species